CCCAGGUCCGGACCCUCUUUGUCAGUGGCCUCCCUCUGGACAUCAAGCCUCGGGAGCUUUAUCUGCUCUUCAGACCAUUUAAGGGCUAUGAAGGUUCCCUAAUAAAGCUGACAUCAAAGCAGCCCGUCGGCUUUGUCAGUUUUGAUAGUCGAUCAGAAGCAGAAGCUGCUAAGAAUGCACUGAAUGUAAGUACCAGAUGACGGC